AAAAGAAACAGUCGAGGACGUGAUGAAUUCGAGGCGACAGAUGAGACGGCGGUGAGCUGCGUUGCGGUACCAUAAUGCGCUGGAGAUAUGGAUAACAACUGACACCACUGGCAGGUCUUAUGAAGUUUGAUUUCAUUUGUCAGGCCUCUUCUACUUUGUCUUUUAGCUCCUGCACGCUCUCUCACUCUUCAAUCAUGGUGGUAAAAGCUCAUUUUGAUAGCCUGAAGACACUCACACUCGCUCUCGUUUAGCAUGCAAAGCCACAAAUAUAGCUGGUUCAAGUUGGCAUAGUGUGUUGUAUCUAAUGCUGUAUUGUACACGUAGAAUUGCAUGUGGUGCGUUUAUAGAAAGAAGCUAAAUGAACCUGAAUGUCCACGGGGGUGUUCUGAUCUCAGAAAUUUCACAUCACGGAGAUGAACAUGUAUCACGUAAACCACAAAUGACAGAGAAAUAACCAUCAGCUUCAGUAUUUGAUCGCUAAGUAGACAAAUGGAGCGGUAAGUGUCCAAGCCUGUCUCGGCAAAUACCUUGCAUGCUUGUCUCCAGCCGACCACAUGACGCUAAUUCCUGACUGAAGCGCUCCUCCCGCGUAUCCCUAAUCCGGCCUGUGAAAUGUGACAAGAUCAUUCUUUAGGCCUACUUUAGUCUGAAUAAUCUGCCCAUCACAGACAUUCAUCCCGACCUGCACAGUGCUUCCAGUGUCAUAACACGCUACCUGUACAUUUUCACCCCCGGCUUAGGCUCCAUAAAUUAAAUCUAGACGAGUAAAUGUGAGGGAUCAGCACUGGGUGUUGCACAUGUGCAGAAUAGUGAAUGUGAAUCUUAAACAGAGUGAUCACAAACAAAUACAAGUGUUUGGUGUCUUCUAUUAAAAAUGUUAUACUUGCUAAGUUGCAGGAUAGAGUUUGUACAACAAUUGAAUCUGUUAUAGUUUCGUCAAAGAUUGUUUUUUACUUAUUAGUUGUGGUAAAAUUUCAAUUUUCUGAGAGGAUUUACAACUUUGUUAAAGUUCUGGAUUAUUAUAAAUCAAAUCAUUUGAGUUUGGAACUCCUGGUUACAAAAUGGAUUAAAUGUAAUAAGAUAAGCUGUAGAGAAUCUUUGGGGGAAUCUGGACAUUCAUUUUGUGGUUUGGUCCAACAAUCAUUGUGAUUUUUUUCCAAGUCCAAAUUCUUGUAAUUUGAAUAUAUAAGGUUUUAAGCCCCUGGUCAACCAAAACAAGCAUUUUAAACUAGUACAGUUAGGCUUAAUGAGAUUCUGGCGGGCAUUGUUCAACAAGAAUUAAUCUCAAAUGUAGAAUUUCAUGUUUUUUUCUGUGUGAUAUUUUUGUAAAUUUAAUACUUUGGGAGUCUUGUCAAACAAAACAAGAAAUUCAAGAAAUUUUUUUGGCCUUUAUGAAAUCAUUUCAGGCAUUUUCUUGCCAAGAGUAAUUUUAAAAGUCAAGAUUUUAUCCUCUUUUUCUGUAUUACUCUUUUGAAAAUUGGAUAUUUUGGGGGUUUGAAUCUCCAAUUCACAAAAAGACAAGCCACCCACAACAUGUGAGAACUUGAUUAGUUUUUCUGUGGGUGUAAAAACUGAACAUUUGCUGGGCUUUAAGCUCUUGAUGGACAGAACCAAGCAAUUUUGCCUCAUAAAUUGGACUGUAUACAAUCCUAACCUGUAUUUUAUGUUACAGGAUCCAUCCUUAAUAUGAGGAACUUAAAUUUCCUUUCUUGUACACUUGAUAUUUAAGGGUUUGAAUUUUUGGUCUGACAAAACAAGAAAUGUAAAGAAACUAUUUGAAAUCUAGGAAAUUGUGACAGACCUUUUCUAGCUGUGAAAUGAGCAACAAGUCAAGAAAAUAGGACCAGCAGAUCCAGAACUGAUUUCAAGAAGAUUUUGUCAUGGACAAAUUGAGCUAAGUGAAGCCACAAACCAAACUUUGCCACCAGUAAACAUGAUCGCACUCGCCUGUUUCUCCUAAACCUUUCAGACAAGUCCAGUACUGACAGUCUUACUGGAGCUUCUUGAAGUUUCCACAAAGUUGUGCGGCAGUAAUAUGGCAGAUGUCAGCUUGAAUUGAGCUGUUGGUUCCAGCUGCUAACAGGGAAGGAGAAGGUGAAGUUAACUCUUCUCUACAGCAUGACUACAACCCACCAGGAUCCUCACCUGCCUGAUGGCAAGUGGACGACAGCUGAUAAUCUCCACAAGGCUUUGCUUCCUUACUCCUGACCAGCUUUAACUAAUCGAGGAGACAACGUGAAAAAGACCCUUCACCGCCGCGAUCUUGGCUGCACCUCAACUUUUCCUAACUGUCUCCGUCAUGCUGACUUCCGGCGAGAUACUGCGAGCUCUUGGUGUCAGCCAUGGGUUGAGCUCUUGCAAAUGAAGUCAGUAUUUGACACAGACGGAGGGGGAGGAAUAGAGGAACGGGUAUGACUUCUAAGUAUCUGAAAUGUCCUGUCUUAAACACAUAAUAUCCGUAAUGCUUCCUGACACUUUCUCCUGUAACCUCUUAUUCUGUGCCAGCUUCUGUGGG